GGAUAACGUUUGGAAACGAACGCUAAUACCGCAUGAUAUUAUUGGGCAGCAUUGCCUGAUAAUCAAAGGAGCAAUCCGCUGAAAGAUGGGCUCGCGUCCGAUUAGGUAGUUGGCGGGGUAACGGCCCACCAAGCCGACGAUCGGUAGCCGGACUGAGAGGUUGAACGGCCACAUUGGGACUGAGACACGGCCCAGACUCCUACGGGAGGCAGCAGUGAGGGAUAUUGGUCAAUGGGGGAAACCCUGAACCAGCAACGCCGCGUGAGGGAAGACGGUUUUCGGAUUGUAAACCUCUGUCCUCUGUGAAGAUGAUGACGGUAGCAGAGGAGGAAGCUCCGGCUAACUACGUGCCAGCAGCCGCGGUAAUACGUAGGGAGCAAGCGUUGUCCGGAUUUACUGGGUGUAAAGGGUGCGUAGGCGGCUUUGCAAGUCAGAAGUGAAAUCUAUGGGCUUAACCCAUAAACUGCUUUUGAAACUGCAGGGCUUGAGUGAAGUAGAGGUAGGCGGAAUUCCCGGUGUAGCGGUGAAAUGUGUAGAGAUCGGGAGGAACACCAGUGGCGAAGGCGGCCUACUGGGCUUUAACUGACGCUGAGGCACGAAAGCGUGGGUAGCAAACAGGAUUAGAUACCCUGGUAGUCCACGCUGUAAACGAUGAUUACUAGGUGUGGGUGGACUGACCCCAUCCGUGCCGGAG
rnacentral:rRNA from 1 species